rnacentral:rRNA from 1 species
GUGGGCUCUUGAUUGCUUAUUGCACCACAUGUGUUUUUCUUUGAAACAAACUUGCUUUGGCGGUGGGCCCAGCCUGCCGCCAGAGGUCUAAACUUACAACCAAUUUUUUAUCAACUUGUCACACCAGAUUAUUACUAAUAGUCAAAACUUUCAACAACGGAUCUCUUGGUUCUCGCAUCGAUGAAGAACGCAGCGAAAUGCGAUACGUAAUAUGAAUUGCAGAUAUUCGUGAAUCAUCGAAUCUUUGAACGCACAUUGCGCCCUCUGGUAUUCCGGAGGGCAUGCCUGUUUGAGCGUCGUUUCUCCCUCAAACCGCUGGGUUUGGUGUUGAGCAAUACGACUUGGGUUUGCUUGAAAGACGGUAGUGGUAAGGCGGGAUCGCUUUGACAAUGGCUUAGGUCUAACCAAAAACAUUGCUUGCGGCGGUAACGUCUACCACGUAUAUCUUCAAACUUUGACCUCAAAUCAGGUAGGACUACCCGCUGAACUUAAGCAUAUCAAUAAGCGGAGGAA